rnacentral:rRNA from 1 species
UACGUAGGGUGCAAGCGUUAAUCGGAAUUACUGGGCGUAAAGCGUGCGCAGGCGGUUUCGUAAGUCCGUUGUGAAAGUCAAAGGCUCAACCUUUGAAAGCCGAUGGAUACUGUGAGGCUAGAGUCCGGAAGAGGCGAGUGGAAUUCCUGGUGUAGCGGUGGAAUGCGCAGAUAUCAGGAGGAACACCAAUAGCGAAGGCAGCUCGCUGGGACGGUACUGACGCUAAGGCGCGAAAGCGUGGGGAGCGAACAGG